GAUGAAGAACGCAGCGAAAUGCGAUAAGUAAUGUGAAUUGCAGAAUUCAGUGAAUCAUCGAAUCUUUGAACGCACAUUGCGCCCCCUGGUAUUCCGGGGGGCAUGCCUGUUCGAGCGUCAUUUCACCACUCAAGCCUCGCUUGGUAUUGGGCAACGCGGUCCGCCGCGUGCCUCAAAUCGACCGGCUGGGUCUUCUGUCCCCUAAGCGUUGUGGAAACUAUUCGCUAAAGGGUGUUCGGGAGGCUACGCCGUAAAACAACCCCAUUUCUAAGGUUGACCUCGGAUCAGGUAGGUAUACCCGCUGAACUUAAGCAUAUCAAUAAGCGGAGGA
rnacentral:misc_RNA from 1 species